rnacentral:rRNA from 1 species
UGGGGAAUAUUGCACAAUGGGCGAAAGCCUGAUGCAGCGACGCCGCGUGAGCGAAGAAGUAUCUCGGUAUGUAAAGCUCUAUCAGCAGGGAAGAAAAUGACGGUACCUGACUAAGAAGCCCCGGCUAACUACGUGCCAGCAGCCGCGGUAAUACGUAGGGGGCAAGCGUUAUCCGGAUUUACUGGGUUUAAAGGGAGCGUAGGCCGCCUGGUAAGCGUGUUGUGAAAAGCCGUGGCUCAACCAUGGUCGUGCAGCGCGAACUGCGGGGCUUGAGUGUGCGGAAAGUGGGCGGAAUUCGUGGUGUAGCGGUGAAAUGCGUAGAUAUCGGGAGGAACACCAGUGGCGAAGGCGGCUUGCUGGACGAUGACUGACGUUGAGGCUCGAAAGCGUGGGGAGCAAACAGG